GAGAAUUGAUUUUGGCAGAAUUGAUUCUGUAAAAUUGAUUCUGGCCAAAAUUGAUUUUAAGCUGAAGUGGUUUAUGUUUGGAUAUACUCAUGAAAAAGUGAGUUGAACAAAAAAUUUGAGUGUAAAAAUCAAUUAUAGAAUCAGAAGCUACGAUUUCUAGCUUCAAGUAGAAUCAAUUCUGGAGGCAGAAUCAAUUCUACUUUUGAGAAACCAAACAAGUCAGAAUCAAUUCUACACGUCCAGAAUCAAUUCUGGAUGCUCCAGAAUUGAAACCAAACAUACACUAAA
rnacentral:lncRNA from 1 species